CACGUAGGGCGCAAGCGUUGUCCGGAAUUAUUGGGCGUAAAGAGCUCGUAGGCGGUCUGUUGCGUCCGCUGUGAAAACUCGGGGCUUAACCCCGAGCCUGCAGUGGAUACGGGCAGACUAGAGGUAGGUAGGGGAGAAUGGAAUUCCCGGUGUAGCGGUGAAAUGCGCAGAUAUCGGGAGGAACACCGGUGGCGAAGGCGACAUCCUGGACCAACACUGACGCUGAGGAGCGAAAGCUAGGGGAGCAAACGGG
rnacentral:rRNA from 1 species